UGUUGUCGCAGUCACUGAUUGGCUAGAUGGUUAUAUUGCUAGAAAGAUGCAGCUAGGAACACCUUUUGGUGCAUUUCUUGAUCCUGUGGCCGACAAGCUUAUGGUAGCGACAACAUUAGUUUUGCUAUGCACCAAACCUUUGGAAUCAUCACUGCUCAAUGAUGGGCCAUGGCUUCUAACAAUCCCU